GCCGGUUAACCAACCUAUCCAACGCUCCACACCGUCUCCGUGUUUAACGGGAGCGGACAACUCUAAACAUUAUUAUUUUUCCCACUAACUCACAAUUAGUCGAUUAGCGAAGGAACCGUUCCCAAACAUCAACGUCGCCAUCCCGUCGCCGCAGCACUCGUUGUCCCACCAGGCCACCAUUGCCGCCCUACCGCCGCAGCCCAUCGGCCUCCCCUCGGCUGACUGGAAAUCCGCCGAGCAACAGCGCGCCAUCCCCAACGCCGGCCUCGCCCCCAACACCACAACCCUCCCAGGAUCCCGCCAUCCAACUCGAAUUCCGUCCGCAACAGCACCGCGAUAGCCUACACGGGAGGCCCUCGCCCUGCACGCCGGGAAGGGAGGCCGAACUGCAAGCAGACACUCGCGCCGCCUUGCACUCCAGGAAGCGAGGCCGGCCUACAGGACACAUCCCCUGCACGCCGUGCUUUCUUCAGAAAAUUAAUCAAGUUAUCUCAAGGAGCUGAUGUAUUGGUGCUGUGUGAACCGAACUGAUGCCAGGAUGUCAAACUCCAACGUCAGAAUGUGUGUGCAAUUCAGACCACUCAUCCAUAAAUAGAGAAAGGUUGAUGGUCAAAAUGCUUGCUUCAAGAAACUGGACCAGGAGUCUUUUGUUUUCAAGAAAUUUAAAGAAGGGUACAGAAAGCCCCCGGGAUAUCCUAAGCGUCCGGCGGACAGGAUCCGGCUCCACCAUUUCACCGUUCCAUCCGCCCCAAUUACUGAUCGGUAGAACAUAAAUCAUGCUCCUCCUUGUGUCGUCCUCUCCCCAGAUCUAUCUCAUGGUACAGUACUAGCGGCCGUCCCUCCGCGUGUAGCGUGGUGUGUCACCGAUGGUGUGCUGCUGCGUGCUAGGCUUAUCGCUCGCCUCUUCGAAAGAGGGAGUCUGUGCCGCUUCCCAACCUUUUCCAGCUUGUGUUUGGUGGUGGCGUGCAACCGCCUCAAGCAAUCGAAGCAUUAUGGAUCAGCCAGUGGCCUGCAGCUACUGGUGCUAAGGCUGAAGACACGAGCGUUUCGUGUGCAGGUGACUGAUCCCAAUGGUUAAUAAGAGAGAGAUGGCAGAAAGGACGAGUGCCCUAUUGGAAUUGUUCCCCAAUAUGAAUGAUGAAUGCUUCAUGAUGUAUGAGAUUUAGGGAGCCUUAAAUAGGGAGCUUUGUUUUAGGUGAUUUAUGGCUACCAAAUAAAAUGUUUGGUGAGCUAAUUUGAUUAGGACUUCCAUGUUAGGUAGAAACUCACCUUCACUGGUUUAUGAUGUAGCAUCAAGAAGAAAAUGAGAAGAGUGGUAGCAAUUGGUCCUGAAAAAGGUGUCUAGGGGUUGUGACAGUUCAGUAUGAAAGGUCAAUCCAAUAGUUUUCUCUCUGUAUUAGUAUUACUUUUAACCAAACGUCAUGUACACAUUUGUAAUUUAUUCGCAAGAAACACAAAUGUGAAUAUAACCAGUAAGUAGACCUUUAUCUAUUUUAAUUUGGUUUCAAGGAGAACAAUGUGCAGGUUGUGUCCUUCAAACUUCUUUCAGUUCUCGGGAUUAUUCUUCUCUGAACAAAGAACAUGUACAUUUUUGUUGUAUUCUGUUCGACUACACAAAGUGGCAUGUUUCAAGCAUGAUUGCAGACUAGCAGUAAUUCAGUUGUCAUUUUGGCCGAUAUAUGUGGCAUCCACUGGCAUCGUCCCUCUCUCUUGUGACUCAAACAAACAUGGAUGAUUGAUACAAAUCACAACAACGUUGGGCUUGAAAACACAAUAGAGUCAGGAGAAACCUUAGCAUCAAAGUUUACACACUUCAUAAGAAUCAUGGAUAAUUUGGAGAAGGAAGAACAAGACAUGGAUUUAUAUUUGACGUGCCAAAGAUGACACAUGUAUCAACUUUGUUGCUCAUGUAUCGUACUUAAAUGUUUCAAUAACUGCUCAUAUCUUAUUUGCAGUCAUAAUAUGGAUGGAUGUGUGCUUUAAAUGAAACUUUUUGGUGAUUUUGGUUCGUUAAAUGAGAUACUUUUGGAGUUCCGUUGUACGUGAAGAGCAAGGCAAAGCAUCUGGGAAAGGCGACUAUGAAUCUGCCCAGGUUUGUGGAGGCAUACAUGGUACUAUUCAUUCCAUUGUUGAUGACGAUGAGCUUCAGGUUGUUAUUUUUGCCCCCUUCGGUUUGUGAUUGUGUACCCUCUUACAAUGAUGCCCUUUGAUAGUUAUGCUUCAAUACAUUUCAUUUGCCAGUGGAUUUAUCUAGAAUUAUUUAUUAGCCAUCCUUGGUUUGAUUAAAUCCUUUCUUGAUUUUAUGGUUUUGUCUCCUCUUAAAAUGAUGCCCUUUGACAGUCAGUUUUCAAUACAUUUCUAUGUCAGGGGGUUUAUCUAGAGUUCUUUAUGAGCGAAGAAUUGAUCUAUAAUUUUGGAGAUUUAGGUGUACUGAGAUCUUUCAUAAGUAAUAGUGAUUUGUAUGAUGUAUGCUUACUCGAAUUUGUGGAUGAUCGAGUUCAGGAGAACACCUGAAAAUAUAAGGAAACAUUACAGCAUCAGCAGGCACGAUUUAUAAUUUUACUGUCUACUUUUUUUUAUAGGUGAGUAGUUGGGAUGAUGGCAGCGAGAGACCUCUAUAUGUCUACUUUUAAUAUUUAUUUUGCUUUUUUAUGCUGUUGAUGUGUUCAUGCUUACUGGCGACUAAAGUGGAGUAAGAGAUGACAACUAAGAAAAGUUUAAGCUAACUAUAAUGACAGGUCCACGAUGAGUGAUGAUGACAUCCUUACCUCACUACUACCUCCGUCAUUACCAAUUGAAGAUGAACCUGCUGUGAAGCUCAAGUCCAAUGAAGUUCGGAUUAGACCUAUUACAAGGGCUCGUGCGAAACUACUUAAACAACAGGUGAACUUGUUCCUAAACGAUACUUUGAUUGAUGGGAACUUUAUACUGCCUAAGUCCUGUUAUUUAUGUAUCAUCAUGUAUGAAGAGGAGAGAAGCAUCGCACGAGCAGGAAAGGAGCAGCUGGACAUGAAGAUGGACGUGGAGCUGGACAUGGAGCUGGACAUGAAGAUGUUCCAUGGAUGCGCGAGGGAGGAGCGGGAGGCAUGCGCGAGAAGGGAAGACGCAGUCCAGGCCGGCCCAACGCCCGGUCAGACCGGCCGCCACGCCGGCGCGCCCGGUCCCUGGCCCGGUCCGACCGGGCGGCACACCGGAUCCACCCGGCGCCAACCGGGUUUUCUGCUGACGCAGACCGGGCGGGGUACUGAGCCGAAUUCCACUCGUCCGGUCGGCACCCGGUCCCUGGCCCGGUUUCAACCGGCCAGCCCGGUCCCAGACCAAGUCGACCGGCCUCCAGACCGGCCGAGUCCGAGUCUGUCUCUACCAGAUCUAUUCUGGAUCGGUUAUUUUUGUAUCUUUUCGACAUGAGGUCGUCCCGGACGCCUAUAUAAGUGCUCAGGACGCCCCACAAGUUGCUUUAGACCACGUUUAAGCUAAACCCUAGUUCUUAGUUGUUUGUUAUGCAAAACUAUGGAAUCCCCUACACCAUAUUGCUUGAUAUUGUGUAGAUCUGAAAGUCUUGUGUG